UCUUUUUUAGGGUUUUAUGAUGUAUAUGUUUUUCUUAUUAUUUGUUCUACUGUUGUUAAAAAGUUUCCUUGACGUACUUUUAACGAUCAUAGUGGCGUUUGCGAGAUUCUUACACUUGCCACCCUGCUUGUAAUACUUGUUUGGGGUUUUGGGUUUAUAUUUUGUCUAUUUUUGACAAUACAUUUUAUGUGGAAUUUUAGCUAGGAUGUUUUCGUAUCUGCGAUUUUUUAGCUUUACACAAUUUAGGCUUUGUUUAAGUAGUGAGUAGUCAUUUGGAUCGUGUAAUACGGUACGGAAUUAUGUGCUGAUGUCAAGCUCAGAUGAUAUUUGUUACGGUAUUUUAUAUGGGAAAAAAUGUUGGCUUAUAAAAUAAUAGUAGGUUGUUCUGUUUCCUGUACGGAUAAGGGCUGAUUACGAUUUUAGUGCCCGGAUCUUAUCUUUGGCGGGCUUCAUUCCAAAUAAUAGCGUAGUGAAAUUGCCUCAGUUUGAAAUAGAAGAUAAAUCCAUUGUUUAUUUCCUUGAAACUGUCAUAUUUCUUUUUCAGUUUCACGGUCCUUGUGUUUUGGAUGAAGAAUUUGAAUUCUAAAAAAUGCUAGUGAUGCUUGUUUAAUAUGGCAAUGCAUUUUAUUUAUGUACGAGAGGUUUUAGAAAUCCUUUGAUUUUACUCUUCUCCUUUAAAUUUGAAACCCUUUGUUUAUAUCUUCACGAAAAAGAUUAUAAUCUAUUGGUAUUUCUCACCUAAAGUUGGACGCAAUAUUUCACCAAACUCAAUUUCUGUUGGGUCCAUGUAUCUCUCACCCAGCGAGUAGGAUGCUGUAAUUUUAUCCGAUUUAAAGCAAUUUAUGUUUUGGUAUUUUACCUAGUUUGGAUCUUUCUCACAAACUCUGGGGAAGCUUCAGCUCGUACUGUUCAACUUAUAAUACCCUUUGAAUUGUCCACCUUUUGAACUCAUUCCAUAUUGACUUAGAUCUCGAGUCUCGACCUACCGCAAUCUUAGGGGCAUGUAGGAUCUACAUUGGUUAUUGAUUUUAAUCUAUAAUAUCCGUGGAGAGAUCUGUUUCUACUCAUCUACUUAAAUUAAACUACAAAAGUGCAAGCAUUUGAUAUGCUUCCAUUCAGGCUAGAGGAACUAUUUAGAACUUUAGACUAUACAUCCUAAGGAAACAACGAAGAAAAGAGUGCCUUCAUGAUGAUCAUCUGGAAUACGGAGGAGGUGAUAGAUAUCAAUUUGAAUUAUUUAAAUUUUGAAAUGUUGUAUACUAAUUCGAUACCAAUUUGUCAAACUCAAAUGUUCUAAUAGAUAUUUAUCGUUCAA